CGGAGUGUAGCUCAGCGGUAGAGCGUCUGGCGGAGAAAGACCGUCAGAGGGUCGCAGGUUCAAAUCCUGCCAUUCCGA
rnacentral:tRNA from 1 species